CUAGACGCCAUCGAAUUCUGUCAACGAUUUAACUUGUCCUUCUAAGGAUUAAAGAUUGACCGCUAAGAUAUUAUUUUAAAUAAAAAAUACAGUGAUAUAGACAAUCAAUCUGUCUUCUCUGAUGCCAAGGUGCCAAUACUAGACGGAAAUACUAUCAAAAGAACGUCAGAUCGCAGAAGCGAAAACCGACAUCAGACUUCAGAACGUAAGUGAAAAUUUCAUCCAAAAUUAGGCGGGAUCAUAGGGCAAGAGAAAUCGUAAACCGCUCGCCACACAAGCAACGUUUGAAUGAAGAACGUCCACGGGGCGGAUUUACCUAUGCUACGACCACAAAACUGAUAGCAAAGCCACUUGAUCGGGAUAAGCGUUGAAGCUACGAUUUUAAUUGAGUGAACGUGAAGAAGCUUACCUGUCUUUUCCUUGAUCUCACAGAGAACAUUGAAAAGGGCGGGCUUCAAGCGAUGGCAGUUCAAAGCAUGUUUCCUAUGUGAAUGUGUUGAGAAAACAAUACAUUAACAUAAAGCAUGGACUUCUGGACAGCUAAUAGUAUACACAAUCAGAAGAAUGAACGAUUUCUUGUCACCGUGACUCAAACUUGAUGCCUCGAUUAUUCGAACAGCAAACGGUGUUCGAUUUCACAGUUGACUCGUGCACUUACUUGGCUUGUGCUUCGUCCAAUGACUGAUCUGUGAUGCUCAUAAUUUGCUGCAAAAUAUCGCCAAUAUCUUGCUUACGUCCGUCUAAUUCCUCGGUUUGUUUCAUCUCAGCUCCCUGUUGGCCAUGCAUCAUCGAUACAGAAUUCACUGGCAUCGGGGCAGAAGUAUGCAUCAAUCUAUCAUUUCCUUCCAUAGAACCUCUUAGCUCCGUCUUCCUUCGGCAAACAAUCCAAGAUGUCGUCUCACGGUGCUCGAAUUUGGUCGAUCAAAACGAGACGCUAGGCCGCCUUUGGCACUCUUAAAUUCAAAGUAUUACUUAGAAACAGGUUUCCCCAGCUGAAUAGAGUUAGUGAUGUUUAUGUCCUUCGGGAUAGCUGUUACGUUUUUUGUGAAAGAGUGUUACGCGCGGUUGGCGGUCGUGUUCUCGAGCUGCCACUCAACUUGUGUUUUAAGCAACGACGUGUCAAUAUUUUCCGCGUGGGUUCAGAUUGAUUGACAGCUCGUAUUCUUCAUUAGCAUAUCCAACUUCCAAUAAAUUUACAAACAAGAUAGCAUAAAUCACCCGUUAUCAAACUUCUGUCGAUUGAAAUAGCUUCAAGAGAAUUUAAGCCAGAUUAAAUACUGGGAAUAAAUUUUAUAAUGAACUCAUAGAGAACAAACGAAGCCAUAAAACAUAAUUCAACAUUUCCAAGAUGGCGGACACUUUUGAGACAAUGCGUCAAUAUUCAUUUUGGUUGUCAUAGUAACAGACACCAGGUGUUGGAUGAUGGGUCAAGACAAAGGCAAAGUGAUAAGUGAAGGCGGUGAAAAAAACAAGAAAAACAAAUAUACUGCCCUUCGGCUUGUCUCUCAUUUUCGUCACAAUUUUGGACUUAAAAUGACAAUUUUGAAGUUCUUAAUAUGUGAAAUGGCGAGACAGUCUAAUGCUCUUUUUCUUAAGCAACAAAAACAUCUUAUUCGAACGUCUGAACAAGGCAAACCAGCGCUAAUUUUUGUGAAUAAACUCCUUGACAAAUGAA